UCCUUACAAAUUAAUGGAUACAGAUGACAACCUGGAUACAGUGAAGACUAUGACUGACCAGAAGCUCUGUCGAUACCACGGAUAUUCAAAAUUCAUCAUCAAAAUAUACAACUAUUCUUUUCUUACUUUUUAACAAAUCAAGCCCAAGUAGGGAAUACAGCAAUCCUUGCAAAUUACUGGAUACAGAUGACCACCUGGAUACAGUGAAGACCAUGACUGACCAGAAGCUCUGUCGAUACCACGGAUAUUCAAAAUUCAUCAUCAAAAUAUACAACUAUUCUUUUCUUAUUUUUUGACAAAUCGAGCUCAAUCAAGAAAUACAGCAAUUAUUGGAAAUUACUGGAUACAUAAGGCCUCCUGGAUACAGUGAAGACUAAGAUUGACCAGAAGCUUUGCAGCUUCCAACGAUAUUUUGAC